rnacentral:rRNA from 1 species
CCUACGGGGGACAGCAGUGAGGAAUAUUGGACAAUGGGCGUACGCCUGAACCAGCGAAGUCGCGUGAGGGAAGACUGCUCUAUGGGUUGUAAACCUCUUUUGUCAGGGAGCAACGCCGGCUACGUGUAGCCGGACUGAGAGUACCUGAAGAAACAGCAUCGGCUAACUCCGUGCCAGCAGCAGCGGUAAUACGGAGGAUGCGAGCGUUAUCCGGAUUUAUUGGGUUUAAAGGUUGCGUAGGCGGAAUGUAAGGUCAGCGGUAAAAUCGCGGGGCUCAACCUCGCUCCGCCGUUGAAACUGGCGUUCUUGAGUGGGCGAGAAGUAUGCGGAAUGCGUGGUGUAGCGGUGAAAUGCAUAGAUAUCACGAAGAACUCCGAUUGCGAAGGCAGCAUACCGGCGCCCAACUGACGCUGAAGCACGAAAGCGUGGGUAUCGAACAGGAUUAGAUACCCCUGUAGUC